rnacentral:rRNA from 1 species
UACGGGGGGGGCAAGCGUUGUUCGGAAUUACUGGGCGUAAAGGGCGCGUAGGCGGCCUUCUAAGUCGGACGUGAAAUCCCUCGGCUUAACCGAGGAACUGCGUCCGAUACUGAAAGGCUUGAAUCCGGGAGAGGGAUGUGGAAUUCCAGGUGUAGCGGUGAAAUGCGUAGAUAUCUGGAGGAACACCGGUGGCGAAGGCGGCAUCCUGGACCGGCAUUGACGCUGAGGCGCGAAAGCUAGGGGAGCAAACAGG